GGGCUUCUUCUUGGCGCCUCAGCCGUGAAUUUACCUCAGGAAACGGGGCCUCGUUUGGCGCCCAGUUGAAGAGUUGAAAGAGGAGAGAGACGCCUUUCCUUUGGGGAGUCACUUUUACCUCAGGAAAGGCUUUUCUUCCCGUCCAGAGGACCCUCUCUCUCCCACUCGAUUUUAGAAAUUUCUUUAUCGAACCUUUACCUCAGAAAAGCCUUGUGAAAUAGAAAGAAGAAAAUGCCAAUUUUAUUUAUUAAGAGAUUGUCACCUCAGACUUUACCUCAGAAAUGGCCAAGCCUUGUGAAACGGAAGGGAGAAACAAAGGCAAAACUUUUGAAAAUUAGCACAGCUUUUUCUGAAGGGACCAGCGCUGAAUUCAAGUCAAAGGGAAGAAAGGGAAGAAACAAAAGGUCGAAGAGACAGAAGACAGAAGAUGCUUGAAGACACUCUCGCAAGGACACCGCCCGCCCCCCAAAAAAGGUCAUUGUCAGGGUAAUGGGUGUCAGGCUAGGCAUUUCAUGUCUAUCUUUGCAAUAAAAAACAGGCUACCUGUGUGCUAGGCUUUUGCAUGAAGAACACGGUUCCCCUCGUGUGUGGCAUCGAAGGUUCCCACUCGGGAACGGACGGGUCCUCCCUUUGUUCUAGGCAGAUGAUGGGGGUUUUCCUAUACAAGCCGUAGGGGCCACAGCUUGGGGGGCAGCGGGGGGCCCGGCCCUGGCACCGCGGGGAGCAGCACACCUUACGGGCAUUUUAAAAGCUCCCUUAAACUUAGACAGUGGCUAGCAAUAAAAAUAUUAAUACCUUAACUCACCUACUAACCCUACUAACACCAUUCUAACUAGGGCAGGCUGGCCUUUUAAAUAGGACUGUGUUUUGCCUGCUGGCAAGAACCAAGCUGGGAGGGAAGGGGGCCUCCUGGCCCCCCAUAGAAGGGCUCCCCUAGAAGGACAUUCAAAAGGCCCGCAAGGUGUCCUGAGAGCAGCCCCUGGGGCCCUCAGUGUGCCCCCCACGGUGCCAGGGCUGGGCCCCCCGCUCUCCCCCAACCCAUGACCCCUGCCGCCUGUAUCUCGUCCGCCCAGGGCCAACGGACGCCCCCUCCCUCCCCGGGCGGAGCUUCGGCGCCACACACAAGGGGAGGCCAGCCGUGGCCGCCAGAACAUGGCCAACCUGGUUUUGGACUGCAAACAUAGGCAUGUAGGGACCCCCUUUUAUUUAUGUAAGGCCACCCACCCAGGGGACCUGGUUAAAGGGGAUCCUCUAUUCUUAAAGUAAGGCCUAUAGAGAUCUCCUAUCCAGAAACUAAGGCGGCUUGGCCUAUAGAGAUCCCCUUUUGUUAAACUAAGGUGGCCUGGCCUAUAGAGAUCUCUUGUUGUUAAACUAAGGUGGCCUGGCCUAUAGAGAUCUCUUGUUGUUAAACUAAGGUGGCCUGGCCUAUAGAGAUCUCUUGUUGUUAAACUAAGGUGGCCUGGCCUAUAGAGAUCUCUUGUUGUUAAACUAAGGUGGCCUGGCCUAUAGAGAUCUCCUAUUCUUUAAGGUAACGCCAGGCGAUGUGGAGAUCCCUGGUUCUUUUAACCCUUAAGGCCAACCGUGGGGAGAUCCCUGGUUCUUUUAACCCUUAAGGCCAACCGUGGGGAGAUCCCUGGUUCUUUUAACCCUUAAGGCCACCCGUGGGGAGAUCCCUGGUUCUUUUAACCCUUAAGGCCAACCGUGGGGAGAUCCCUGGUUCUUUUAACCCUUAAGGCCAACCGUGGGGAGAUCCCUGGUUCUUUUAACCCUUAAGGCCAACCGUGGGGAGAUCCCCGGUUCUUUUAACCCUUAAGGCCACCCGUGGGGAGAUCCCUGGUUCUUUUAACCCUUAAGGCCAACCGUGGGGAGAUCCCUGGUUCUUUUAACCCUUAAGGCCAACCGUGGGGAGAUCCCUGGUUCUUUUAACCCUUAAGGCCAACCGUGGGGAGAUCCCUGGUUCUUUUAACCCUUAAGGCCAACCGUGGGGAGAUCCCUGGUUCUUUUAACCCUUAAGGCCUGCCUGGGGAGAUAUCCUAUUCUUUUUUCAUGAAAAGUCGGGUAUAGACCUUCUCUUUUCUCUCCCGUUUCAUGUGCCUGGACUCCCGGAGGGCUCCUGCCGGACACCGUCUCCCAUCGGCCGAGAGGGAUCCUUCCUGUUUGGAAAGCAUCUGCUACACAGGUAAAAAGAAGAUUCCGGGAAGGAGAUUCCUACAGCGGAGCCCUAAAGCCAGGUGAGACGUUCCUUCCAACCUCCACGGCUGCUUUGCACACACACACAUGACACACACAUGACACACACACACACGCAUAUACAGCUGGGGGCCCUCAGGGACUCUCCCCCCAAUAGAUCGGGGACUCCCACUCCGGCAAUUGGCCAUUGGAAAUGCCUUGAAGCAGUUUGGGGCUUCCGGCCAAGCGCUCGCAAAGAGAACCCAUUCAAGGUAUACGUGGAGCCCCUUUUAUUUAUUAUUUAUUGACAGCAUUUCUAUUCCGCCCUUCUUUCUCACCCCAAAGGGGACUCAGGGCGGAUCACAUGACACAUAUAGGCAAACAUUCAGUGCCUUUUAACAUAGAACAAAGACAAACAAACAUAAGCUCCGAGCGGGUCUCGAACUCAUGACCUCCUGGUCAGAGUGAUUCAUUGCAGUUAUAAUUGCAGCUGGCUUCCUCUCCCGCCUGCGCCACAGCCCGGGCCAACCUUGAUAAAAAGGGCCUGGCACGUGGAAAACUCUAUUUGUAAGGCAAACCCUCGUUAAAGAAGGUUUGCAAUUAAUUUAAAACCAGGCUUCUGAGGGACCCGCUGCGUUUAAAGCCAAACCUAGCAGGUGGGAACCUCUCUUGUUGGAUAAAGGAGAUCCCCUCUGGUUAACGUAAGGGGAGGGACCCUCCAUUUUUAAUAGGAUGCCUGGCAGAAUCUUAACCUCAAUGCAGGCCUAUGGGGUCCAGCCUUAUUCUCAAUGACUGCAUAGCCAGGCAUGAAGGGACCCCAUAUUAUUAAUUUGAAGCCUGGUAAAAAGAGAUUUAUGUAUUUAUUUAUUUACUACAUUUAUACCCCGCCCUCUUUUCCCUUAAAGGGGACUCAGAGCGGCUUACAAGUUAUAUUUAUAUACACUAUCUCAUUAGCAUAGCACAAUAUUAGCAUUAUAUAUUACUACAUUGCACUAUACCACUAUAUAGAAAUAUUGUUAGCAAUAUUACAUUUAAAAUAUAAUAUGUAAUUAAUAUUAUUGUAUCAUUGUUAGUAUUAUAUUGCUUAAUUUAUUUAUUUAUUUAUUUAUUUAUUAGAUUUAUAUGCUGCCCUUCUCACCCCGAAGGGGACUCAGAACGGCUUAAAAAUUAAAUUUACAUACAAUAUUAUAUUAUUAGCAUAGUACAAUACUGGCAAUAAAUUACUAUAUUGUACUAUAUCAAUAUAUGGUAGUAUUAUUAGUAAUAUUACAUGCAAAAUAUAAUAUAUAAUUAAUAUUAUUAUAUUGUAUUAUUAGUAUAUCGUAUUACAAUAUAAUAUUAUGAAUAUAUGUAUAUACAAUAUGUUGUAAUUAUUAUAUAUUAAAUUUUAUAUAUAUAUAUAUAUAUAUAUAUAUAUAUACACACACACACAGUAGAGUCUCAUUUAUCCAACAUAAACGGGCCAGCAGAAUGUUGGAUAAGCGAAUAUGUUGGAUAAUAAGGAGGGAUUAAGGAAAAGCCUAUUAAACAUCAAAUUAGUUUAUGAUUUUACAAAUUAAGCACCAAAUCAUCAUGUUAUACAACAAAUUUCACAAAAAAAGUAGUUCAAUAUGCAGUAAUGCUAUGUAGUAAUUACUGUAUUUAUGAAUUUAGUACCAAAAAAUCAUGAUGUCUUGAAAACAUUGUCUACAAAAAUGCGUUGGAUAAGCGAGUGUUGGAUAAGUGAGACUCUACUGUAUAUAAAAAUUAGAAUAGCAUGUUAUUAGGGGAGGAGCAUCUUAAUUAUUAGAUGUCAGUAUUAGUCAUUAGAUGUUAAUAUUAGUUAUUCAUAUUAGUAUCAAUAUUACAUUAAUAUACAAUAGAGCAGGGGUCCCCAAACUAAGGCCCGUGUGCGGGAUGCGGCCCAUCGAAGCCAUUUAUCCGGCCCCCACAGCACAACCCUUAUUAUUAUUAUUAUUAUUAUUAUUAUUAUUAUUAUUAUUAUUAGCAUUGAGGCUGGGUGGCCAUCUGUCAGGGGUGCUUUGCUUGUGCUUUCGGUGCACAAAGGCAGAAAGGGAUUGGACUCAAUGGCCAACCCUUCCAACCCUCAUAAUUAUUAUUAUUAUUAUUAAUAAUUAUUAUUAUUAUUGCUUGGUGGCCAACUAUAGUCUGGCCCUGCAAUGGUCUGAAGGAUCGUGAACUGGCUCCCUGUUUAAAAGGUUUGGGGACCCCUGCAAUAGAGUAUAUUAUUAUCCUAGCACAAUGUUAUUAUGUUAUAUAGUAGUAUGUAUGUUCAUAUUAUUUAUUCAUAUUAGUAUCAAUAUGACAUUAAUAUACAAUAGAGUCUAUUAUUAUCCUAGCACAAUAUUCAUAUGUUCUAUAGUAGUAUGUUGUUGCUAGGGGGAGGGGCCCCCCACUGAUGGGGAGGGCCCCCCCACUGAGAUCCCCUGUCAUUAAUGUUAGACCAGGCAUUUAACGCCUACCUUUGCAUUCAAGAGCAGGCUCCUAGGCCUUUGCAUUCAAGAGCAGUGCGCUAGGCCUUUGCGCAAGGAACACCACCCACGGCUCCCCUUGUGCGUGGCGUUGAGGCCCCACUCGGUGACGGACGGGUCCUCCCUUUGCCCUGGGCAGGUCGUGGGGGGGGGGGGUCUCCCUGCACAGGCAGGGGGUCACGGCUGGGGGGAGAGCGGGGGCCCGGCCUUGGCACCCCCCUGGGGACCCGAGGGGCCGCUCUCAGCCCACGUCACGGGCAUUUUAAAACGUCCCCGGGAUGUAGUAGCUCAGAUUAAUCCCUGCACUAACCGCUAACCCUACUAACCCAGUUCUAACCCGGGCAGGCUAGGCUUUUAAAUAGGACUGUUUUUGCCUGUUGGCAAGAACCAAGUGGGAGGGGGCCUCCGGGCCUCCCGUGGGAAGAAGGGCUCCGGCCCCCCCGGCCCCCCGGCCCCUGCCCUGUGCUGGGAGCCCCCCGCCCGGGCCCCCAGAGGCCUCCCUGUGGUACCGGGCUUGGCCCCCAUCCGCUCUGCCCCCAUCCGACGGCCUAGGAAAGCCCCCCACCAUCCGCCCAGGGCCAACGGACGGCCCUCCCUCCCUCCCAGGGGCAGCCGCGUUCCUCACGCAAAGGUCUGGCGCACGGGAGCCUGUUUCUGAAUGCAAACGUGGGGCCCAGGACCCCCCCCCCCCCUUGUCUCCGUGCAGGGCCACCCCCCCAGGGACCCCCACAAAUGCCUGGUGACAGGGGAUCCUCUCCUCUUAGCAGGAGGAAAAGCCACGUGCGUAAAGCGGUGCCUUUGCUCCCGUCGUUCCCAAGAGCCCCCCAAAAGCGAGAUGCUCCCCUGGGUUCAGCCCUCCUGACCCCUGUCUUCUCCCUUGUUCCAUGUCUCCAAAAUCCCCGAGGGAGGGGCUCCUCCUGGACAAGAGCCAAGGACGGAAGGACGGACGGACGGACGGACGGAGAUCCCAGAGAGAGAGCGGAGAGCAGGACGCCUUGCCUUUUCGGAGCUGCUGAGGUCGACCCCUUUCCAACGAGGUCAGCUUUCAAGAAGAAAACUCUUCCCAAAAAAGUGUGUUCUGGUUAUUAUUCAAAGGCACAACGUUCAAUAUUUGACAGCAUUAAACAUCUAGAUUACAGGACAGUUUAUGUUACUGCAUUUUAUACACCUGACCUUGUUUUUACAAAUAAAGUACCUGUAUAAUUUUUGCCUCUCUAUAUAUAUAUUGUACUAUGCUCAGACUCAUUGUUCUGAUAUGCUGUUAUAUGGUUUAAUUGUUUAUAUUGUUUAUAUUUUUAAUGUAUGACUGUUUAUUACAUGUGACAUUGGGCUUGUUUCCCAUGUGAGCCACCCCGAGUCCUCCUGGGGGAGAUGGGAGCGGGAAUAUAAAAAUAAAGUAUUAUUUUGUAUUAUUAUUAUUAUUUAUAAUAUUUAUUAUAUAUAAUUUUCUUGCACCCCAAGUACCUCUGGCAAGUGCCAAAGAGUAUUUAACUCUGCCUACAUGGCACUAAAGUGUAUUUAUAUGUUGAUUGUUCCUAUUGAUUUUAUGUUAUGUUUUUUUUUGCUUUGUAUAAUAAGGCAUUGAAUUUUUGCCUUAAUAAUAAUAGUUUUAUGAAUGUUUUAAUGUCACUGAAUUUUGAAUUGAAUUGAAAUGUCAUUGUAAUUGUUUAUAUGUGUAUUUUCUAUUUGUAAGCCACCCUGAGUCUCCCCUUAUUGGGUGAGAAGGUUUGGGAAGAAAUACUGUCAUAAAUAAAUAAAUAAAUAUUCUGUGUC